rnacentral:rRNA from 1 species
UACGGAGGGUGCAAGCGUUAAUCGGAAUUACUGGGCGUAAAGCGCACGCAGGUGGCUGAGUCAGUCGAUUGUGAAAGCCCUGGGCUUAACCUGGGAAUUGCAGUCGAUACUACUCGGCUCGAGUAUGGGAGAGGGCAGUGGAAUUCCCGGUGUAGCGGUGAAAUGCGUAGAGAUCGGGAGGAACACCAGAGGCGAAAGCGGCGACCUGGACAGAUACUGACACUCAACUGCGAAAGCGUGGGGAGCAAACAGG